CCGGAGGUGAUGCAGAUACUUGUUACGUGAUACACAUGUGAUGUCUCUAUUCAUACUGUCUGAUCCGG